GAUGAACGCUGGCGGCGUGCCUAAUACAUGCAAGUCGAGCGAAUGGAUUAAGAGCUUGCUCUUAUGAAGUUAGCGGCGGACGGGUGAGUAACACGUGGGUAACCUGCCCAUAAGACUGGGAUAACUCCGGGAAACCGGGGCUAAUACCGGAUAACAUUUUGAACCGCAUGGUUCGAAAUUGAAAGGCGGCUUCGGCUGUCACUUAUGGAUGGACCCGCGUCGCAUUAGCUAGUUGGUGAGGUAACGGCUCACCAAGGCAACGAUGCGUAGCCGACCUGAGGGGGUGAUCGGCCACACUGGGACUGAGACACUGCCCAGACUCCUACGGGAGGCAGCAGUAGGGAAUCUUCCGCAAUGGACGAAAGUCUGACGGAGCAACGCCGCGUGAGUGAUGAAGGCUUUCGGGUCGUAAAACUCUGUUGUUAGGGAAGAACAAGUGCUAGUUGAAUAAGCUGGCACCUUGACGGUACCUAACCAGAAAGCCACGGCUAACUACGUGCCAGCCGCCGCGGUAA
rnacentral:rRNA from 1 species